GGAGUAUACAGCUCAGUGGUAGAAUGUGUGCCUGGCAUGCAUGAGGUCCUGGGUUCAAUCCCCAGUACGUCCA
rnacentral:tRNA from 1 species